UUCCCUCCCGGGAGCGGCUCGCCGGUGUGCUGGCUCCGGCUUGCGGCGCAUUUCCUCCCGUCCUCCGACGCCGCGACCGGUCGGGCGCGCCACGAGCAGUCGGCCUUACUCGCGGGAAACGGAAGGUAGCCGGGUCGGCGCGCACGCGUCGCUCCCCGGUGUUCUAGCCGUCCCGCAAUCGAGUCAGCCGUUCGCCCGACCGCAGGAACCAAGGCCCUCAGGGGCCCCGCCGUGCCCUCCCCGCUCGGGGAUCGCUUCCCGCCUCGGAAGGGAUGCCGCUUGUCCCCGCGCCGCACCUCCGGUGCGCGUGGGGCGGCGGCGCCCGCUGGCCGGGGCGUUUGCGAUUCGGGUGCUGGCGGUCUGCGGCGAGUAGGUCGGUCACCCACUCGACCCGUCUUGAAACACGGACCAAGGAGUUUAACAUGCACGCGAGUCACUGGGUCGUGAGCAGGCCCAAGGGCGCAAUGAAAGUGAAGGGCGGCCCAUGCCGUCCGCGUUGGGAUCCUCCGGCCUCCGUGCCGGGGGCGCACCAACGGCUCGUCCGGGCCGCCACGUCGGCCGGGCGAAGCUAGAGCGUGCACGUUGAGACCC
rnacentral:rRNA from 1 species